rnacentral:lncRNA from 9 species
AUGUGUCAGAGCCUCUGGGAGGGAGGCCUGGGCAGGCACCGACUGUCCAGAUGUCUGCCUAGCACGCUAGCUGGACCCAGCCUCCCGCGGGAGAACAUGUCUCCUGAGGACCAGUGCCGGCCUUCCCUUUGGAGGCCUCCCAAGAGCAUCUUGCUCUCUCUGAACAGGGCCCACCUCCCACAUCCAGAAAGGGUGCCUGUCCGGGGGCCCGUCUCUCUCCCGGAGGCAUCCCUCACGGAAGCGGGCCGUUUCCCCCCCCUCUCUGAAGCCUCACCUGGGUCUGCCUGGCCGUCCCCUCCCCUCCCCUCCCCUCUGUCUCCGCUGCGGAUGCUUUGCCAAGCUGUCAAGGGGCCUGGCAGUGGAAGGCGGGGAAAGGACGAAGAGAGUAAACCAUUUCCUCUCACUGAUGAGAAGAUAGGAGCCCAUCUGUUGGGCUUUUUCUUCCAUUUGACCUCACAGGUAGCACCUGCCUUCCGAGAGCUGACAGAACGCUGAGGGCAGGCCAGCUGCUACCCCCGGUUCACAGCCAGGUGCCCUGGGAACUGUGUGGCUCGGGGACAACUGCCCAGAGCUCAGGUCCAGUGCUCAGCAUGAGGACUCCUUUGUUUGGGGAUUUUUCUCGGGUGACCCCUCCGGAGCCAGAAGCCGUUUUCCUCUCCGAGAUGUUCCAUCGCCCUUGCUUGUCCCAGGUCUUGGGCCAGCAGUGGCCGUCUUCCACUCUGGGAGUGAGUCUGCUGGGAAAGGCGGGCCGAGUGUACGGCAGGUGGGGACGGUGGAGACAGCUCCGGACCUUUGACAGACCCCACCCUCCGCAAAGUUUCCACCUCCUGUCCGGGCUGAUAGAGCUGAGCAUUGCUCCUUUUCCUGGCAUCCCUGUGAGGAGGAGAGGGGGCCACUGGCGGGAGGCUCCCCAAAGCAACUCUCUUGUGGAGCUGAGAAAUGGGGGCCCAGGGAAGGCCAAUUAGCAGCAUCCAAGAUUCUGAUCCUCCCCCUUUUCCUCAGAGCAUCAUCUUUUAUUGCAUGUCUUCCCCAAAUCCAUCACUAGGAAGGGAAAUUUAGUUGCCAGGAAGGGCCCCCUUCUCCGAGGUCGUCUAAUUAGUUAAAGCAUGUUUGGUUCCUCAGUCCUGAAGUCCCACUCAGUCCCUGGAGCUUUGCUUAGUUACGGUCACUAAGACUCUGCCAUUGAAGGUCCCUGCCCUCCCCUGUCCUCCUUCUGUCUCCUUGGUGACCCUGGAGGGAGGUGGAUGAAGCCUCUGGGUCAGCUCAACCCCACGGCCCCCGCCCCUCACCUCUUUUUCCUGAUCUGCCUGCAGGCCAGAGAAGCAGGAGGGGGCUGGGAUGCCAAGGCCGCUCGCGUACGUUUCCACCAGCUGUAUGUGGAAUGGGGCCAGACUCCACAUGUGGCAGCUCCUCUCCUGACCGACAUCCGUCCCCGCCUGAGGCCUCGGGAAAAUUCCAUGAUGUGGCUGUGCUGAGUCAUGCUUAGUGUCUGAGGAUCCGUAUGUCACCUUUCGCGUGUCUGUCACUGGUCAGCCCUGGGUCUGGGAAAGGCUGCAGCUUCCACAGCAGCCGUGAUAUCCUGCUGCUGAUCCUUUCUGUUUACCCACUGCUGUGUGCCUCUCCCGAGUGCUUUGAC